GUCCGUAACUUUAUUUUUAGAUGUGGGUAACUUUUGAUUUAUAAUUUUAAGAAUUAUAAUUUCAACAAUUAGAAGACAACUAACAUCAUAUUUGUAACCUUUGCGGCGGUUUAUACUACUCAUUCACCACCAAAUGUGAUUUUAUUAACGCAUCAUACUUACACCACAGACGUUUUAUGUGGGGUUUGUGGUACUCCAUCCUGGUUAUGGUUUGAACUUUUAUUUACUGAUGUGCGUCUUAUCGACGUUUUUCGCUUGUCAGACCAAGGCUUUUCCAUACUCUUUAAUGUUUUGAGUUUAAUUAUAUGUUUGCGGUUUACCUUCACCUCUGUUUCUUUCUAUAGAUGUGUAUUUUGAUGAAUACUCUUUGACGCGGCUCGGUAUUUAUACAUCCCACCAGUUAGAUAUAGUGUUAUGAUUUUUUGAAUAUGUUUCCUAGUAUGUUUUUUUUUCUCUCUUUGUAUGUUAUCAGGGGUUGUUAGACUAUUAAAUUACCCUGUUGUCCUACGUAGUUAUUUAUAUUUUUAUAUACUAUGUCGAAUUGUUACACUAUGUUGACUGCUCUUUUCCUUUUAUUGUCACUGACUUUUACC
rnacentral:lncRNA from 1 species